rnacentral:rRNA from 1 species
AGCGAACGCUGGCGGCAGGCCUAACACAUGCAAGUCGAACGAACUCUUCGGAGUUAGUGGCGGACGGGUGAGUAACACGUGGGAACGUGCCUUUUGGUUCGGAAUAACUCAGGGAAACUUGUGCUAAUACCGAAUGUGCCCUUCGGGGGAAAGAUUUAUCGCCAUUAGAGCGGCCCGCGUCUGAUUAGCUAGUUGGUGAGGUAACGGCUCACCAAGGCGUCGAUCAGUAGCUGGUCUGAGGGGAUGACCAGCCACACUGGGACUGAGACACGGCCCAGACUCCUACGGGAGGCAGCAGUGGGGAAUCUUGCGCAAUGGGCGAAAGCCUGACGCAGCCAUGCCGCGUGAAUGAUGAAGGUCUUAGGAUUGUAAAAUUCUUUCACCGGGGACGAUAAUGACGGUACCCGGAGAAGAAGCCCCGGCUAACUUCGUG